rnacentral:rRNA from 1 species
AUUGAACGCUGGCGGCAGGCCUAACACAUGCAAGUCGAACGGUAACAGGAAGCAGCUUGCUGCUUUGCUGACGAGUGGCGGACGGGUGAGUAAUGUCUGGGAAACUGCCUGAUGGAGGGGGAUAACUACUGGAAACGGUAGCUAAUACCGCAUAACGUCGCAAGACCAAAGAGGGGGACCUUAGGGCCUCUUGCCAUCGGAUGUGCCCAGAUGGGAUUAGCUAGUAGGUGGGGUAACGGCUCACCUAGGCGACGAUCCCUAGCUGGUCUGAGCGGAUGACCAGCCACACUGGAACUGAGACACGGUCCAGACUCCUACGGGAGGCAGCAGUGGGGAAUAUUGCACAAUGGGCGCAAGCCUGAUGCAGCCAUGCCGCGUGUAUGAAGAAGGCCUUCGGGUUGUAAAGUACUUUCAGCGGGGAGGAAGGGAGUAAAGUUAAUACCUUUGCUCAUUGACGUUACCCGCAGAAGAAGCACCGGCUAACUCCGUG